CCCCUCUUUGCCCUUAUGCUGCGAUGGAAAUGGUUCAACCCUGGCAUGGUAUGGUUUGGUAUGUGCCAGAGUCCACAGGAGAUGCCUCAGCUGCUGCAGCUGCGGCUGCAGCUCCUGCCCCCGGUGCUGAGCUCAUGUCAGUAUUUGAUGGACUAGGAGAUGUAAUGAAGCCCACUGUGACCCCUCAGGCGGGUGAUGUUGACACCUCUAUGGCUAACAUGGCAAGUAAUCUCACAAUGGGAACCGCAGCGGCUCCUCAGGUAGCUCCCCCCAGUUGGGGUGCUCCCAUGGUAAAUGUUGUCUGUGUCUUAUAG
rnacentral:lncRNA from 1 species